rnacentral:lncRNA from 1 species
GAGCAACUGGAAUUCUCAAACAUCAUGAAGGAAAUAUAAAAUGAUACAACCACUUUGGAAAAAGAAGACAGCCAUGUGAAGAUAGAGACACACAGAAAGAACGUCAUGUCAUAAUGAAGAUGAAGCUUGUAGUUAUGCAGCUGAAAGCUAAGCAAUGCCAAGGAAGCUAGGAAGAAGCAAGAAAGGAUUUCUCUACAGAUUUCAGAGGACGCAGGACCCUGCCAACACCUUGAUCACAGACUUCUAGCUUCCAGAGCUGUGGAACAAUAUAUUUCUGUUGUUUUAAGCCACCCAAUUUGCGAUACUUUAUUAUGGCAGCUCCAGUAACUAACAUACAUACCAUAUUUCGAUCUCAUCUUAAUUUUGUAAAUAUGAGCACUUGACUUUUCCAACAAUUAUUAUAAUAGCAAUAACAAUCAACAACGAGCAGAAUAAUAGUUGAUUUGUUCCUAGUUUUUCCAAGGUUGUCAGUUUUCUUCACCCCAAAAGUGGAAUCUUCAUUUCAGUUUUAGAUACUCUAGAAAUGCACUAUUCAACUUGAUAGCCACUUGUCACAUAUGGCUAUGGAGCACUAGAAAUGUGGCUAGUUCAAAGUGAGAUGUGGUUUCAAUAUAAAAUACAUACUACAUUGUGAAGACUUAGGAAGAAAAAAAGAAUGUAAAAUAUCUCAUUAAUUUUUUUAUGUUGCCUAUAUUUUGAAAUAACAUGUUGAGUACAUUGAGUUGAAUAAAAAUUUUAUCAUCAACUAAUGUGGCUCCUAGAAAUUUUUAAAUUUCAUAUGUGGCUGACAUAUUUCUGUUGGACAGUGCAGCUCUUGACCCAAGAAGAGAAUGUUGCAUGGUGUAGUAGGAAAAAGCUCUAACCUGGAAAGGAGGAAACUUUAGUUUCAGGGCUGAUUAUUCUGACUCUACCAGAUAUUUGAAUUUGGGCCAAUCAUGUCACUUUUCUACACACAGCCCCAACAUCUGAAAAAUAAGGUUGUGCUAUUUAAUUUCUAAUGUAAUUUCACUUUCUAAACAUUUAUCUUAAUAUAAGUAAAGUGUUGUCUCAAGUCAUGCUGUUGCUCUUUUUCUGAAUCUGGUAAUGUAUAUAUUUUAUAUCAAUAUGUAUUAUAUCAUAUUUUAUAUAUAAUAUUUUACAUUACACAAAUUAUAGUGUGUGCAUGUGUAUGUGUAUGGUACACCAUUGUAUGUAGAAGCACGUAUAACCCAUAUGGGGCUAUAGGUGUUUCUACAUUCAGAAUUGCUUGGCAUUUUGAAAAGUAAUACAGGCAGAUAUUUUCUAUUACAUAACGCUCCCAG